GGGGAUAUGGCGGAAUGGUAGACGCAGCGGACUCAAAAUCCGUUGGUCUCACAGGACCGUGAGGGUUCGACUCCCUCUAUCCCCA
rnacentral:tRNA from 1 species